rnacentral:rRNA from 1 species
UACGUAGGGGCAAGCGUUGUCCGGAUUUAUUGGGCGUAAAGAGCGUGUAGGCGGCCAGACAGGUCCGUUGUGAAAACUAGAGGCUUAACCUCUAGACGUCGAUGGAAACCGUUUGGCUAGAGUCCGGAAGAGGAGAAUGGAAUUCCUGGUGUAGCGGUGAAAUGCGCAGAUAUCAGGAAGAACACCCGUGGCUAAGGCGGUUCUCUAGUACGGUACUGACGCUGAGACGCGAAAGCGUGGGGAGCGAACAGG